rnacentral:rRNA from 1 species
UUUUUGAGAUAAUUUAAAGUCUAAUCUGCCCACUGAUGUAAUAUUAAAGGGCUGCAGUAUUUUGACUGUACAAAGGUAGCAUAAUCAUUAGUCUUUUAAUUGAUGACUAGAAUGAAAGAUUGGAUGAAAUAUAAACUGUCUCUAAUUAAUUUAUAAAAUUUAAUUUUUUAGUAAAAAAGCUAAAAUAAUUUUAAAAGACGAGAAGACCCUAUAGAGUUUAAUAAUUUAUUUAAUUAUUAUUAUUAUUUAAAUUUUAAAUUUAAGAAUUAGAUAAAUUAUUUUGUUGGGGUGAUAGAAAAAUUAAAUUAACUUUUUUUAAAAGAUAAACAUUAAUUUAUGAGUAUAUGAUCCAUUUAUAAUGAUUAAAAGAAAAAAUUACCUUAGGGAUAACAGCGUAAUUUUUUUUUUUAGUUCAAAUAGGAAAAAAAGUUUGCGACCUCGAUGUUGGAUUAAGAUAAAAUUUAAAUGCAAAAGUUUAAAAUUUUGAUCUGUUCGAUCAUUAAAAUCUUACA